UCCAAAAUAAAUAAAAAUGCGAAAAUAAAUUCUAUCUAACUUACACUAAUCCUAACUACGCUCCCGUGCAUUACGCGAUGCCUCGGACCUUCAUCACAAACAUCUUCCGCCAACAUAAUACGUCGGGGCAUUCCCCGGUGAAUAAAUAUAACGCGUCUCGGGGCAUUCCCCGACUAAACGAAUACAUUUUUCAAAUGCGAGAAAGAUAAACCAUUCCUCAAAUAUUCCAAACACUCAAACAAUCCAUAAGUUCUAAAUUUGCCUACCCAAGCCUACUAUUUGCCUACGCUUUCGCCGGUCUUAUCAUGAUACUACCGAAUUCAUCUACAUCAUCAAUACAUCAAAAUUAAUCAAUAUUCACUUUUAUUAAUGUCUCAAUUCCCGCCCCAAAUUCAACUCAAGGUUCCAAUGUAACAAUUCACAAUUACUUUUAACAAUCCAUAACCAAUAUCAAUGACAUCAAAUGACAAAUCAAAAUCACCAAAACACUCAUAUCAUAUCAUGCUUCACACAUAUCAAACACGUAUAAUGAAAUAGAAAUGAGAAGAGAUAGAAUUGGACCUCCAAUCACGCUUUCAAAAUCAAUGUAUUAUUCUGAUUAAAACCGAGAGAAUCCCCGUCCAAAACCUCGAAUCGAACCUAAAUCCGAAUCAACGCAAACUCGCCAACUCGAUCGAACCCAAAACCGAACAAUCCAAAACAACAAUCUCAAAAUCAAAACCCCCAAAAAUCCAAAUCGAAUCUGGACUAAGAACCAAUGUUUGCGACUUUGUUCAUAAUACUAUUCACGUCAACGGGGUUACGGGUUUAGUCGGCAAAAGGCGUGGUCAUUGGGCUGAACUGUUGCGACUUCAACAGGGCUCCGACAAGCCUCAACAGUGAUGGGGUGAUCGGAUUUUAUGAUUUUGAUGGAGAUGGAGCUGAUAUUUGUAUCAUCGGAGUUCCGGCGAGCUCCAAUAGUGACGGACACGGACAGACGGAGUAUGGUUCAGAUCUCAGGCAAAAAUGGUGGUUCCCGGCGAGAUUUCACAGGAACCAACACCCCCACUGUCGUUUCUCUCUUCUCUCUCACUUACACUCAGAUUUUUAUUGUUUUCCUCCCAACUUUAUCACACUCUCUCGCUCAAUCCUCUUUAUCCUUUUCUUUCUCUCUCGUUCAACUGUUCUCUCCCAUCUCUUUCGUGUUACUGUGUGCGUGAGUGUGUAUUCUUAAUUGUAUCCAUAUGGGGAAUUUCAGUGAGUGUAUUUGGUGAGGAUCAUUGAUUUCUCCUGAUGGAGAAGAUGAUUUCUGUGUGUAUGUGUUUUUGGGUCUUCUCUAGUAUUGAUGGAUGGUCUCGUAUUGUUACUGUGAGUCUCUAUACGUAUGAGAGUGUGUGUAUAUGAGUGGAAGGGAAAUUCCGUGUCUAUGGGUAUUGCCCUGAAUGGAUAGGAUCUUGUGUGCCUAUGUAUUAGGUGUUCACCCAUUCCCUGUGGGCCCUUUUUUAUUCCUUUUGUUCUGUUUUGGUUAAAAGGAACAAACAACAAAAAAAAAAAUGUGAGCGGGGGCUGCUUAGGGGUGAGGUUGGGUAGGGGUAGUGAGGUGGUUUAUUUUGAUUGGGUAGGUUGUUAGAAUGAGGUGUAAAGGGAGUUAGGAUAGGAUAAAAUUUGUUAGGUAGUUUGUUAGGGAGUUUGUUUUAAGUUGUUAUUUUUUUAUAUUUUUGUGGGGUAUAAUUACAUGGGUGAGGGUACACGGUAGGAUAAAGUAAAAAUGGGUAAAAACGAUAUCGGGAAGGGACGAAAUUAGGUGUCUACAAGGAUUGUUUUUUAUGAUCAAGAAUGUAAAAACAAAUUGUAAUGCCAACGCUAAGUUAAUCG
rnacentral:lncRNA from 1 species